rnacentral:rRNA from 1 species
GAUGAACGCUGACAGAAUGCUUAACACAUCAGCAAUUGAUUGGUGGCGGACGGGUGAGUAACGCGUAAAGAACUAGCCUCACAGGUAGGGACAACAUUUGGAAACGAAUGCUAAUACCUAAUACUGUGAGAGAGCUUUGCGUCCCAUUAGCUAGUUGGAGAGGUAACGGCUCACCAAGGCGAUGAUGGGUAGCCGGCCUGAGAGGGUGAUCGGCCACAAGCGGACUGAGAAACCGCCCUUACGCAUACGGGAGGCAGGAGUGGGGAAUAUUGGAAAAUGGACCAAAGUCUGAUCCAGCAAUUCUGUGUGCAAGAUGAAGUUGUCGGAAUGUAAAGUGCUUGCAGUUGGGAAGCGGUACCAACAGAAGAAGUGACGGCUAACUACGUGCCAGCAGCCGCGGUAAUUC